rnacentral:rRNA from 1 species
UACGAAGGGGGCUAGCGUUGCUCGGAAUUACUGGGCGUAAAGCGCACGUAGGCGGCUUUCUAAGUCGGGGGUGAAAUCCUGGAGCUCAACUCCAGAACUGCCUUCGAUACUGGAAAGCUCGAGUCCGGGAGAGGUGAGUGGAACUGCGAGUGUAGAGGUGAAAUUCGUAGAUAUUCGCAAGAACACCAGUGGCGAAGGCGGCUCACUGGCCCGAUACUGACGCUGAGGCACGAAAGCGUGGGUAGCAAACAGG